rnacentral:rRNA from 1 species
CCUACGGGAGGCAGCAGUGGGGAAUAUUGGACAAUGGGCGCAAGCCUGAUCCAGCAAUACCGCGUGUGUGAAGAAGGCCUGAGGGUUGUAAAGCACUUUCAAUGGGGAGGAAAACCUACCGGCCAAUACCCGGUGGCUUGACAUUACCCAUACAAGAAGCACCGGCUAACUCCGUGCCAGCAGCCGCGGUAAUACGGAGGGUGCGAGCGUUAAUCGGAAUUACUGGGCGUAAAGCGUGCGUAGGCGGCCCGCCAAGCCAGAUGUGAAAGCCCCGGGCUCAACCUGGGAACUGCAUUUGGAACUGACGGGCUAGAGUUGGGUANAGGGGGGCGGAAUUUCAGGUGUAGCGGUGAAAUGCGUAGAGAUCUGAAGGAACACCAGUGGCGAAGGCGGCCCCCUGGACCCAAACUGACGCUGAGGCACGAAAGCGUGGGUAGCAAACAGGAUUAGAUACCCGUGGUAGUCCACGCCGUAAACGAUGCCGACUAGCCGUUGGCCCUAUAUACAGGGUUAGUGGCGCAGCUACGCAUAGUACGGCCGCCGUCGGGAGGUACGGCGACGAACGUUAAACGUACGAAGAAGUAGACGCGUGAGACGUAGCGACGACGACGACGAGGGAGUAGG